AUCAAGCUACAGAGGGUGUACGACGAAUGCCUAGGGACAAGAUGCCGAAGAAGGACGCGAUAGCGGCGAAACGUCUGGGGGAGUUGCACAGAAACGUCGAUCCCAGAAUUUCCGAAUGGAGAAAUCCUGUCGGGGUAAUGCCCGGCAACCUAUUCCUGAACACAUAGGGAGUAAGGAGGCAACCUGGUGAACUGAAACAUCUAAGUAACCAGAGGAAAAGAAAUCGAAGAGAUUCCGUAAGUAGCGGCGAGCGAACGCGGACCAGCCCAAACCGAUAGGCUUGCCUGUCGGGGUUGUAGGGCCAUCACUACCACUCUCUCGAACUGAGCCUUAACCGGCUGAGUUCGAGACGGUAGAAAAGGGGAUUGUUGGAGUUAACGAAACGGCUUGGAACGGCCGGCCACAGAGGGUGAGAGCCCCGUACGUGAAAAUGCCCAACAGACUUAGAUGGUACCUGAGUAGCACGGAGCACGAGGAACCCCGUGUGAAUCUGCCGAGACCACUCGGUAAGGCUAAAUACAUCUUGUCACCGAUAGCGUAUCCAGUACCGUGAGGGAAAGGUGAAAAGAACCCCUGUUAGGGGAGUGAAAUAGAACCUGAAAUCGUACGACCGUGUUGGCAAGCUUAAGCCGUUCAGCGGCGGAGGCGGAGGGAAACCGAGUCUGAAUAAGGCGUCAAGUCAGCACGAGCAGACCCGAAACUGCGUGAUCUAGCCAUGGCCAGGUUGAAGUGGUGGUAACACACCAUGGAGGACCGAACUCAUUGAUGUUGAAAAAUCUCGGGAUGAGCUGUGGUUAGUCCGGUGAAAUGCCAAUCGAACGCAGAGAUAGCUGGUUCUCCCCGAAAUGCAUUUGGGUGCAGCGUUUAGCGAUGUUCUUUGGGGGUAGAGCACUGAAUGGGCUAGGGGCCUUACCAGGUUACCGAACCCAACCAAACUCCGAAUACCAUUGAAUUAGCUAGGCAGUGAGACAGCGAGUGAUAAGAUCCGUUGUCAAAAGGAAAACAAUCCAGAUCGACAGCUAAGGGCCCUAAACGUGGACUAAGUGUGAAACGAUGUGAGAUCGCAUAAACAGCCAGGAGGUUGGCUUGGAAGCAGCCAUCCUUUAAAAAGUGCGUAAUAGCUUACUGGCCGAAUGUGAUCUUGCGCGGAUAAUGUAAGGGGGCUAAAGUCCACUCCCGAAGCUUCGGGUUCG
rnacentral:rRNA from 1 species